rnacentral:rRNA from 1 species
AACGAACGCUGGCGGCAUGCCUAACACAUGCAAGUCGAACGAGACCUUCGGGUCUAGUGGCGCACGGGUGCGUAACGCGUGGGAACCUGCCCUUAGGUUCGGAAUAACUCCCCGAAAGGGGUGCUAAUACCGGAUAAUGUCUUCGGACCAAAGAUUUAUCGCCUUUGGAUGGGCCCGCGUUGGAUUAGCUAGUUGGUAGGGUAAAAGCCUACCAAGGCGACGAUCCAUAGCUGGUCUGAGAGGAUGAUCAGCCACACUGGGACUGAGACACGGCCCAGACGCCUACGGGAGGAAGCAGUGGGGAAUAGUGGACAAUGGGCGAAAGCCUGAUCCAGCAAUGCCGCGUGAGAGAUGAAGGCCUUAGGGUUGUAAAGCUCUUUUACCCGGGAUGAUAAUGACAGUACCGGGAGAAUAAGCACCGGCUAACGCCGUG